CUCUUUCAGUAAAAUCAAGAUUUAUUUUCUAAUAUGGUAUUAGAUGCAAACUAAUUCAUUCCCCAAUUUCAUGGCAUGGACUAGGGCUUCUGCCAAGAUCACCUAAGGCAACCCCAAUGUCAUUCUGCCUCCAUCAAAUCAAGUGGUGCCACCAUCAAAUCCGACGGUGCUAGCUUUUUUCUCUACUACUCAGACUGAUACUAUGCCACCAUCGAAUCCGACAGGUCCAACUUCGUCUACUGCUUUGACCACUGAGAACACUGGUGCUUUGGCCUUUGCAUCAAAUCGAUUCUCACUUCUUCAAACAGAUGAUCUACCUUCUCAUGGUGAGUGUAAUCCGUAUCAUCUAGGAACGAGAGAUAAUCCCACUUUUCUUAUUGUUUCCAAACCUUUAAUUGGUCAAGAACAUUUCCAAUCAUGGAAAAAAGGAGCCUCCAUCUCCAUUGCUGCAAAGAACAAAAUACCUUUCAUUGAUGUCUUUAUUCCUCCUCCACCCAUCAUCGAUCCUGAUUACUCUGCUUGGGUCCAAUGCAAUAACUUGGUCAUGACUUGGAUCUUGCAAUGUUCCAAGACCGAGUAGUAGACAUGUGGAAUGAUCUCCAUGACAUAUUUAAUCAAGGUAAUGGUCCUCACAUUUUUCAAUUACAAACCUCUCUUCAUAGUAUCAAAUAGGGUGACAACACUGUGAAUACAUAUUUCACUCAACUCAAGUCGCUUUGGGAUGAACUCAAAGAAUACCAGUCCAUCACUCCCUGCACUUGUGGUUAUAAAUGUGGAGCCAUGACAAAGCUUCUUGAUUAUUAUACUCAGGAUCAAAUUCUACAAUUUCUCACUGGUCUGAACGAGUGCUACAACCAAAUAAGAGCUCAAAUUUUUCUAUAUGACCCUUUACCCCCUUUGUCCAAAGUCUUUUCCAUGGUGGUCCAAGAAGAAAGACAAUGUUGCCUUGGUUUCACUAACCCCUCAAUUGUUGAUGUUUCUGGCACUCAUUCUAAACCAUACAUUCCAAGAAGUAAUAAGCCUCAUCCACUUGUACUCACUGCCUAAAACCAGGGCACUUUGUAGAGAAAUGUUAUUUUCUCCAUGGUUUUCCUCUAGUUUAUGGAGAUCAAAGAAGAACACCAAUUGGAAAACUGCCUCCGUCUGUUGUGGCCACCACCACUACUUCUACUUCAGCCAACACCCCAACUUCUUCUUCACAAUCUCAGCUGAGUCAACGACUCAUUGCAUUACUCAGCCAUCGACUCAACAUCAACAACAGAUAAUGCCCAGCUGAGUGCUUCUAAUAUUUGUGGCACAUUCUCAGACUUCCAAGAUUGGGAUGGCUGCAAAAAUUGGCAACCUCUUCUUCCUUAAGCAAGACAAGAAUUUUCUCUCUUUUUCUGAUUCUGUUUAAGCUAAUAAUACUUGUACCACUAUGGACCAAUGACAUUUACAUCUUGGGCACCCAUUUAUGCAAAUUUCAAAUUCUUUUAAUAAAACUCCUCAUUUUACAGAUA